GGACAAUUAUUGUGGGACGGAGG
rnacentral:miRNA from 1 species